rnacentral:tRNA from 4 species
GGUGUUGUAGCUCAGUUGGUAGAGCAACGGACUGAAAAUCCGUGUGUCACUGGUUCAAUUCCAGUCAACACCACAA